rnacentral:rRNA from 1 species
CCUACGUGUGGCAGCAGUGAGGAAUAUUGGUCAAUGGGCGGAAGCCUGAACCAGCCAAGUAGCGUGCGGGAUGAAGGCCCUACGGGUCGUAAACCGCUUUUGCACGGGGAUAACACCCUCCACUUGUGGAGGUCUGCAGGUACCGUGCGAAUAAGGGCCGGCUAAUUCCGUUCCAGCAGCCGCGGUAAUACGGAAGGCCCUAGCUUUAUCCUGUUUCAUUGGUCUUCCAGGGAGCGUAGGCGGGCGUUCAAGUCAGCUGUAAAAUCGCGCGGCUCAACCGCGCCCCGCAGUUGAAACUGGACGCCUUGAGUUCACAACAGGCAGGCGGAAGUCGGGGUUUAGCGGUGAAAUGCAUAGAUAUCAAGAGGAACCCCGAUUGCGAAGGCAGCCUGCCGGGGUGCGACUGACGCUGAGGCUCGAAGGUGCGGGUAUCAAACAGGAUUAGAUACCCUGUAGUC